CUUUGGUUCCGACACUCGAAUAAGUGCCUGUGAAGCAAUAGAAAUUCUACAUCUCAAACAUGAACAAACUCGUCCUGGUGCUCCUGCUUGUAGGCUGCGUCGCUCUGCUGACUCUGCCGCCACAAGUUGAAGCGCAAAAACGUGUUGGUUCGUGUAAUUGCCGACAAAUCUGUCUUUCUGACGAGACUAACACAGGCAGCUGCCCACGUGAGCGAGGGCAAUGGUGCUGCAAAAAACGUUGAUAAUU